UCCUACGGGAGGCAGCAGUGGGGAAUUUUGGACAAUGGGGGCAACCCUGAUCCAGCAAUGCCGCGUGUGUGAAGAAGGCCUGCGGGUUGUAAAGCACUUUAGUUGGGGAGGAAGGCCUUUGAGCUAAUACCUUAGAGGAUUGACGUUACCCAAAGAAUAAGCACCGGCUAACUCUGUGCCAGCACCCGCGGUAAUA
rnacentral:rRNA from 1 species